UAUCCGUUGGUGAACCAGCGGAGGGAUCAUUACAGGAUCGAAAGACUCCUAUAACCCCUGUGAACUUACUACAAAUACGUUGCUUCGGCGGGUGCCCCGGGUCUCCCGGGGCGUUCAGCCCGCCGGCAGCCUUCAAAUUCUGUUUCUUUGCGUUGGCAUCUCGAGUAUACAAAAAUAAGUUAAAACUUUCAACAACGGAUCUCUUGGUUCUG
rnacentral:misc_RNA from 1 species